AUGACUUUCAAAUCCAGAGCUGAGGUUUUCAUUUUCCUGUCAGGUAUUUCCUUGUUCCUGGGGAUCUACAUCUCUUUUCUUCUCCCCAAGUUGUUCCUCAGUUAUUUUCCAGAGUCUGGUUUUCGAUUCUUGGAGAGGAGUCCUGAGGAAACUUUGCUCCAAAGCCCUGCAGCAGACCAUUCCUGCACCACCACUAGCCAUGCUUAUGGGAUUGCCACAGCAACCUGGACUGGUCCUCUGUGGUCCUUGUCGACUUCAUAUGGUCCUGGUCAGUCUGUGAAAAUAAAGUCAGUCACUCUUGCUACCCACAAAGUGUGAUGCACAAUAACUGUUACUGUUCGGAGACAAACACUCCAUCUAAACAAGAA
rnacentral:lncRNA from 1 species